rnacentral:tRNA from 3 species
GGGUGUGUAGCUCAGCUGGUUAGAGCAUUUCACUUAUAAUGAAAAGGUCCCUGGUUCAAAUCCAGGCACACCCA